AUCUAACGAGGAGUAAAGAUUCAUUGGUGAUGGAUGGGGAUGCGUCUGAUUAGGUUGUUGGCGGGGUAACGGCCCACCAAGCCUACGAUCAGUAGGGGUUCUGAGAGGAAGGUCCCCCACAUUGGAACUGAGACACGGUCCAAACUCCUACGGGAGGCAGCAGUGAGGAAUAUUGGUCAAUGGACGGAAGUCUGAACCAGCCAAGUAGCGUGCAGGAUGACGGCCCUAUGGGUUGUAAACUGCUUUUGUGCGGGAAUAAAGUGAGGGACGUGUCCCUUUUUGCAUGUACCGCACGAAUAAGGACCGGCUAAUUCCGUGCCAGCAGCCGCGGUAAUACGGAAGGUCCGGGCGUUAUCCGGAUUUAUUGGGUUUAAAGGGAGCGUAGGCCGGAUAUUAAGCGUGUUGUGAAAUGUAGAUGCUCAACGUCUGCACUGCAGCGCGAACUGGUGUCCUUGAGUGCGCAGGAAGUCGGCGGAAUUCGUUGUGUAGCGGUGAAAUGCUUAGAUAUGACGAAGAACUCCGAUUGCGAAGGCAGCUGACUGUAGCGUUACUGACGCUGAAGCUCGAAGGUGCGGGUAUC
rnacentral:rRNA from 1 species